rnacentral:rRNA from 1 species
CACAUAUUGUGAGCUCGAUGAGUAGGGCGGGACACGUGGUAUCCUGUCUGAAUAUGGGGGGACCAUCCUCCAAGGCUAAAUACUCCUGACUGACCGAUAGUGAACCAGUACCGUGAGGGAAAGGCGAAAAGAACCCCGGCGAGGGGAGUGAAAAAGAACCUGAAACCGUGUACGUACAAGCAGUGGGAGCCUCUUUAUGGGGUGACUGCGUACCUUUUGUAUAAUGGGUCAGCGACUUAUAUUCUGUAGCAAGGUUAACCGAAUAGGGGAGCCGAAGGGAAACCGAGUCUUAACUGGGCGUUAAGUUGCAGGGUAUAGACCCGAAACCCGGUGAUCUAGCCAUGGGCAGGUUGAAGGUUGGGUAACACUAACUGGAGGACCGAACCGACUAAUGUUGAAAAAUUAGCGGAUGACUUGUGGCUGGGGGUGAAAGGCCAAUCAAACCGGGAGAUAGCUGGUUCUCCCCGAAAGCUAUUUAGGUAGCGCCUCGUGAAUUCAUCUCCGGGGGUAGAGCACUGUUUCGGCAAGGGGGUCAUCCCGACUUACCAACCCGAUGCAAACUGCGAAUACCGGAGAAUGUUAUCACGGGAGACACACGGCGGGUGCUAACGUCCGUCGUGAAGAGGGAAACAACCCAGACCGCCAGCUAAGGUCCCAAAGUCAUGGUUAAGUGGGAAACGAUGUGGGAAGGCCCAGACAGCCAGGAUGUUGGCUUAGAAGCAGCCAUCAUUUAAAGAAAGCGUAAUAGCUCACUGGUCGAGUCGGCCUGCGCGGAAGAUGUAACGGGGCUAAACCAUGCACCGAAGCUGCGGCAGCGACACUAUGUGUUGUUGGGUAGGGGAGCGUUCUGUAAGCCUGUGAAGGUGGCCUGUGAGGGUUGCUGGAGGUAUCAGAAGUGCGAAUGCUGACAUAAGUAACGAUAAAGCGGGUGAAAAGCCCGCUCGCCGGAAGACCAAGGGUUCCUGUCCAACGUUAAUCGGGGCAGGGUGAGUCGACCCCUAAGGCGAGGCCGAAAGGCGUAGUCGAUGGGAAACAGGUUAAUAUUCCUGUACUUGGUGUUACUGCGAAGGGGGGACGGAGAAGGCUAUGUUGGCCGGGCGACGGUUGUCCCGGUUUAAGCGUGUAGGCUGGUUUUCCAGGCAAAUCCGGAAAACCAAGGCUGAGGCGUGAUGACGAGGCACUACGGUGCUGAAGCGACAAAUGCCCUGCUUCCAGGAAAAGCCUCUAAGCAUCAGGUAACAUCAAAUCGUACCCCAAACCGACACAGGUGGUCAGGUAGAGAAUACCAAGGCGCUUGAGAGAACUCGGGUGAAGGAACUAGGCAAAAUGGUGCCGUAACUUCGGGAGAAGGCACGCUGAUAUGUAGGUGAAGCGACUUGCUCGUGGAGCUGAAAUCAGUCGAAGAUACCAGCUGGCUGCAACUGUUUAUUAAAAACACAGCACUGUGCAAACACGAAAGUGGACGUAUACGGUGUGACGCCUGCCCGGUGCCGGAAGGUUAAUUGAUGGGGUUAGCGGUAACGCGAAGCUCUUGAUCGAAGCCCCGGUAAACGGCGGCCGUAACUAUAACGGUCCUAAGGUAGCGAAAUUCCUUGUCGGGUAAGUUCCGACCUGCACGAAUGGCGUAAUGAUGGCCAGGCUGUCUCCACCCGAGACUCAGUGAAAUUGAACUCGCUGUGAAGAUGCAGUGUACCCGCGGCAAGACGGAAAGACCCCGUGAACCUUUACUAUAGCUUGACACUGAACAUUGAGCCUUGAUGUGUAGGAUAGGUGGGAGGCUUUGAAGUGUGGACGCCAGUCUGCAUGGAGCCGACCUUGAAAUACCACCCUUUAAUGUUUGAUGUUCUAACGUUGGCCCGUAAUCCGGGUUGCGGACAGUGUCUGGUGGGUAGUUUGACUGGGGCGGUCUCCUCCUAAAGAGUAACGGAGGAGCACGAAGGUUGGCUAAUCCUGGUCGGACAUCAGGAGGUUAGUGCAAUGGCAUAAGCCAGCUUGACUGCGAGCGUGACGGCGCGAGCAGGUGCGAAAGCAGGUCAUAGUGAUCCGGUGGUUCUGAAUGGAAGGGCCAUCGCUCAACGGAUAAAAGGUACUCCGGGGAUAACAGGCUGAUACCGCCCAAGAGUUCAUAUCGACGGCGGUGUUUGGCACCUCGAUGUCGGCUCAUCACAUCCUGGGGCUGAAGUAGGUCCCAAGGGUAUGGCUGUUCGCCAUUUAAAGUGGUACGCGAGCUGGGUUUAGAACGUCGUGAGACAGUUCGGUCCCUAUCUGCCGUGGGCGCUGGAGAACUGAGGGGGGCUGCUCCUAGUACGAGAGGACCGGAGUGGACGCAUCACUGGUGUUCGGGUUGUCAUGCCAAUGGCACUGCCCGGUAGCUAAAUGCGGAAGAGAUAAGUGCUGAAAGCAUCUAAGCACGAAACUUGCCCCGAGAUGAGUUCUCCCUGAGACUUAGAGUCUCCUGAAGGAACGUUGAAGACGACGACGUUGAUAGGCCGGGUGUGUAAGCGCAGCGAUGCGUUGAGCUAACCGGUACUAAUGAACCGUGAGGCUUAACCUUACAACGCCGAAG